rnacentral:lncRNA from 1 species
ACUUCCAAUCCCCAUGCACCAGCAUUUCCCUGCAGCAGCCUCAUUAAGGGCUGGUUUCAAAGCUCCUUCACAGGAGAGGAUAAUGAUGCCAAGGAAGAGCAGAUUUCUUGGGGGAAAGGGCAGGAGAGCGCUGUGAGCCUAAUGUGGAAACAGGCUCCCACUCCUGUCUCCACCACAAGAAGGCCAGAGAAGAGAACUGGGUCCGGGAAAGAGGGUCAUGGCUCUUCUUCUCUGUCCCAGCUGGCGCUCAGGAUUGUAAGAAGCAAAAAGCAUAUGUAAUUGGCAAAACAAAAAGAGGGUGAGACAAGGAAGUUGAUGCUGACUGUCCAUCCUUGGAAGUGUGUCCAGAACCAUGGGAGCCAUAUGGCCACCAGCUGGAGAAUAAAGCCAACGUGGGAGAUGAUGGAGCUGAUGAAAAUACCCAGGACUAGAACAAAGCUGAAAGUACCAUGCCCAGACAUCACUGGAAGACACACAGCAUGAGUCUAAGUAUUAAACCAGUUUUACUGAUGGAGAAAAUGAGGCCUAGAGCUGUGAUUUGCUGGGGGAGCCAGAACAAGGAAAAGCUUGGGGUCCCAGAAAACACAGAUUCAUCCCAGAGGCAAAGGCUUAAUCACACCAGAGUUACAACAAUAGAUUCAUCUGCUGAUGGACAUACUGGAUGUGCUACUUCUAAAGUUGAGCAAUCGUGAAUUGUGCUGCUAUAAACGACAAAUCGGGGAGAGAGAGAGAUGGAGAAGUCAGGUAAUUGGAGGAAAAGUAGUUCUAUCCCCGAGGAGCUGAUUGAGGUCCUGGCUUUGGAUUGUUUCCCGGAAGAACUGCGUUGCCCUCUGCUCCUUGGUUCACCUGAUUUAUAACCACUCACAGGCAUGGCGGGGGUCUUUGGACCUUGGCCUCCAGGCAGACUGCUCAGAGAAGGGAAGAGGACAGACUACAAGGCAGAGCCUCUGAGCAGACGCAAGAAAGGCCCUGGGAGACUGGAGCCAUGCCUAACACCAGCCCCUGCCCACAUUCCCCGUCGGAUGGGGCUUGUGCUGGGGUCUGCCUGGAUCGCCUGCUCAUCCACGAGGCAGGGAAGAAGCAGCACGCGGCUCCUCUCCCACUCAGGACGUGGGCUGUACACUGCACUUCUUUGGGCUUCAGCUUCUGCAUCGGUAAAGCACACCGAGGGACAUUCAUACUUCACCAGAUUCUUGAGUGAUUUAAAUAACCCCCUACAAACAAGCGCUUAGAACAGAGCCUGCAAAUACCAAACCCUCACUAUUUAUCUGUUGUUUUCACCAUUUAAUAAACUAAUCCCCGACAUAGGUACAGUGGUUAGAAUCGUGUCACAGAGGAGAAAACUGAUUUG